GCUGUAAAUUGCUUUGGAUUUCUUGACGUAGGUGGAACGUUCGACCGCGAAGACUUCCUGACUGUCACCCUCGAACUCUGCAAGAUAGUUCUUCCACUUUUCACUAGGGUUAGUUUCAACCGAAGCACUUCCAAUCUUACGAAAGCUCUCCUUUACAGCAACUCUUGCAAAUCCUGCACAAUUAAAAAUGACAGACAUUUUCGUUUCACACGAAUACACUUAGCUCGUUAUCGAGUAGUACCGUUGUUAGGGAACAAAACCCUGAAGAGUUUCAAGGAAUCAGUGCGAUAACUUUCAAGUUUUGCGCCAAAAUUGCAAUUGUGUUUUAUUAGAACUGUCAAAGGCGAUCUAACCCUGGAUUUACAGAGAUGCAAUCGACCUCAGAAAACGAGAAAAAGAAAUAAAUAUCACCAAAAGAACCUGUGGGAUUACUUUCGUUGAUAGCGGUUGGAACCAGGUAAAGGCUAAGAUGUUUUCGGGCGAAAACCAUGAUAGAUGAAGCAGCUUCGCAGAGACAAAACUUGAUUUAAUCUGCCUAGCACAUCUCUCUUUUUUUUGGCAGCCAUUCCAAGUGGGAAAACAAUGAAAAACGUCUCAAAUAUUCAUAGCGAUAACUGCAUUUUGAUUUGCCUUGUGUUUUGUGGUGGGAAUUUGUUCAAGAAAGCAACCGACGAAUUUGGCGCCUAAAUUAACUGUUUUUGGCUGUUGAGAGUAUCAUAUUACGCUGCCACAAUUCAGUCCGAGAGAGAUGGUAGUGAUACACAUUUCUGCCAAGUAUGAGAAAAAUCCCUCGCAAAAUAGCUA